CUUUAUUGGAGAGUUUGAUCCUGGCUCAGGAUGAACGCUGGCGGCGUGCCUAAUACAUGCAAGUCGAGCGAAUGGAUUAAGAGCUUGCUCUUAUGAAGUUAGCGGCGGACGGGUGAGUAACACGUGGGUAACCUACCCAUAAGACUGGGAUAACUCCGGGAAACCGGGGCUAAUACCGGAUAAUAUUUUGAACUGCAUAGUU
rnacentral:rRNA from 1 species